AUUGAACGCUGGCGGCAGGCCUAACACAUGCAAGUCGAGCGGAGCGGAGGACGGGUGAGUAAUGCCUAGGAAUCUGCCUGGUAGUGUGGGAUAACGUCCGGAAACGGGCGCUAAUACCGCAUACUAUCAGAAGAGCCUAGGUCGGAUUAGCUGUUUUGUGGGGUAAAGGCCUACCAAGGCGACGAUCCGUAGCUGGUCUGAGAGGAUGAUCAGUCACACUGGCACUGAGACUCGGUCCAUAUGUCUCCGGGAGGCAGCAGAGGGGAAUAUUGGACAAUGGGCGAAAGCCUGAUCCAGCCAUGCCGCGUGUUUGAAGAAGGUCUUCGGAUUGUAAAGCACUUUAAGUUGGGAGGCGUUACCAACAGAAUAAGCACCGGCUAACUUCGUGCCAGCAGCCGCGGUAAUUC
rnacentral:rRNA from 1 species